rnacentral:rRNA from 1 species
UACGUAGGGUCCGAGCGUUGUCCGGAAUUAUUGGGCGUAAAGGGCUCGUAGGCGGUUCGUCACGUCGGGAGUGAAAACUCGGAGCUUAACUCCGAGCCUGCUUCCGAUACGGGCAGACUAGAGGUAGGCAGGGGAGAGCGGAACUCCUGGUGUAGCGGUGAAAUGCGCAGAUAUCAGGAGGAACACCGGUGGCGAAGGCGGAUCUCUGGGCCUUACCUGACGCUGAGGCGCGAAAGCUAGGGGAGCGAACAGG